GCCCUUCAUUUUACUAUAGCAGAGGCAACAACUGAAGGACAUAUAAAAGGAAAAUGUUAGCAUUUUUAGGGUUCACGUUUACUCUUCUCCUCUCUUGCGAUUCUUGGCGACUGCGUAUGGUGACUAAAAACGAACACUGAAUCGAAGCUUCCACUGUAAACCUUCAUCGAUCUUCAUUUCUUUGCUGUCAUCUUCGACGAUCUCAACAGGGCAAUAAAGUUAAAAUGAGCUAAAAACGGUCCAUUAAAGCUUUUUUGGAGUCAAGCAAAGAUAUUCAGAAAAAGUUCAGAAAAUGACAAAAAGAUGUCGUAGCCCAUUGCUCGUAUAGUGUGCUUAUUCUUCGAAAGCGGUCAAUCUCGGGCCUUUGAUGAUGUUCCCAAAGAUGAAGAAGCAAACCAAUUAACCCGGAGCCAAAAUGGAGCUAAAUAAGGCUUAAAGGAAAUUUCCAACUCUGGGGGGAUCGAUCUCUCAGGGUGGGGGAUCGAUCCCCCAGGACUUGGCAACAUUACAGAUUUUUUUUUAUUGUUUGGGCUUAUUUUGUGAACUAUUGGGCUUUAAUAGAGUUGUUACUUAAGGCCCAGUGAGCCAUUAGAUUAGGGUUAGUAUUUAUUUUAUUUAGGUGAAUAUUAUUAGAUUUUUUAUUAUUAUUAAGUUUUUAGUAUUCUGUAUCGAUAUUUGAUUCUCUCUGGAAAACACAAAGAGGAAAAAGCUAGGGUUCUAGAGAAAAGCUCAGAGAAGAAGAAGAGGAGCCAGAUGAAUCAAAGGAUGGGGCUUGUUGACAUCUUGCAUCCAUCAACCAUGAGUGGCUGAUUCUUCAACUUAAGGUUGGAUAAACCCUAAGCAUGUAACCUAAUUCUUAACUCUUGACUUUUGGGGAUUAAUUUGUGUAAUUUAUGUUAUAGCCUUGAUAUAUAUAUAUAUAUUAAUUCUUUCA